rnacentral:rRNA from 1 species
GAUGAACGCUGGCGGCGUGCCUAAUACAUGCAAGUCGAGCGAACGGACGAGAAGCUUGCUUCUCUGAUGUUAUCGGCGGACGGGGGAGUAACACGUGGAUAACCUACCUAUAAGACUGGGAUAACUUCGGGAAACCGGAGCUAAUACCGGAUAUUAUUUUUAACCUCAUCGUUGAAAAGUGAAAGACGGUGUUGCUUUCACGUAUGGAUUCAUCGGAGCUGCAUUAGCUAUUUGGUAAGGUAACGGCUUACCAAGGCAACGAUCCAUAGCCGACCUGAGAGAGGGACCGGCAAAAUGGGAACUGAGAACGGGCCAAGCUCCCUAGGGGAGCAAGCAGGAGGGAACUUUCGGAAAGGGGCGAAAGCCUGACGGAGAAAGGCGGCGGGAUGGAGGAAGGUCUCGGGAUGGUAAAACUUGGUUAUCAGGGAAGAACGUAUUUGUAAGUAACUGUGCAAAGCUUGACGGUACCUAAUCAGAAAGCCACGGCUAACUACGUG